UGGGGAAUAUUGCACAAUGGGGGAAACCCUGAUGCAGCGACGCCGCGUGAGCGAAGAAGGCCUUCGGGUCGUAAAGCUCUUUUAUGAGGGAAGAUAAUGACGGUACCUCAAGAAAAAGCCCUGGCUAAAUACGUGCCAGCAGCCGCGGUAAUACGUAUGGGGCGAGCGUUGUCCGGAAUUAUUGGGCGUAAAGGGUACGUAGGCGGUUUUUUAAGUCAGGUGUCAAAGCGUGGAGCUUAACUCCAUUAAGCACUUGAAACUGAAAGACUUGAGUGAAGGAGAGGAAAGUGGAAUUCCUAGUGUAGCGGUGAAAUGCGUAGAUAUUAGGAGGAAUACCGGUGGCGAAGGCGACUUUCUGGACUUUUACUGACGCUCAGGUACGAAAGCGUGGGGAGCAAACAGG
rnacentral:rRNA from 1 species